rnacentral:snRNA from 1 species
CCUCCCGGGAAGUCCUCGUGUU